rnacentral:rRNA from 1 species
CCCGCUGAACUUAAGCAUAUCAAUAAGCGGAGGAAAAGAAACUAACAAGGAUUCCCCUAGUAACUGCGAGUGAAGCGGGAAAAGCUCAAAUUUAAAAUCUGGCGGUCCUCUGGGCUGUCCGAGUUGUAAUCUGGAGAAGCGUUUUCCGCGUCGGACCGUGUACAAGUCUUCUGGAACGAAGCGUCAUAGAGGGUGAGAAUCCCGUCUCUGACACGGACCGCCGAUGCUUUAUGUGAUACGCUCUCGAAGAGUCGAGUUGUUUGGGAAUGCAGCUCAAAAUGGGUGGUAAAUUCCAUCUAAAGCUAAAUAUUGGCGAGAGACCGAUAGCGAACAAGUACCGUGAGGGAAAGAUGAAAAGCACUUUGGAAAGAGAGUUAAACAGUACGUGAAAUUGUUGAAAGGGAAACGUUUGAAGUCAGUCGCGUCGGCCGAGACUCAACCUUGCCAUCUCGGCUCGGUGCAUUUCUCGGUUGACGGGUCAGCAUCAAUUUCGGGCGUCGGAUAAAGGCUGAGGGAACGUGGCAUCCUUCGGGGUGUGUUAUAGCCCUCGGUUCGCAUACGACGAUCGGGAUUGAGGAACUCAGCACGCCUUCAUUGGUCGGGGCUUCGGCUCACGUUAACGUGCUUAGGAUGCUGGCGUAAUGGCUUUAAGCGACCCGUCUUGAAACACGG